rnacentral:misc_RNA from 1 species
AAGUCGUAACAAGGUUUCCGUAGGUGAACCUGCGGAAGGAUCAUUAUAUUCAGUACUUUGCUACUGUUAGCUGGGCCUGUUAGUCUGUAUAGUGUUACUACUGAUGAGCAGCAUGGCCACGGCCCUUACCCCUGUCUUUUGUGCACCUAUGUUUCCGUAGCGGGUUGACAACCUUGCUGGACAACACCAUAACAUGAAUCUUUUAUCAGCGUCUGAAAAAAACAAAAUUUACAACUUUCAACAACGGAUCUCUUGGUUCUG